rnacentral:tRNA from 1 species
GCUGUGAUGGCCGAGUGGUUAAGGCUUUGGAUUUGAAAUCCAAUGGGGUUUCUCUGCGCAGGUUCGAACCCUGCUCUCAGCG